CGCACGCCCUCUCCCUCGCUACAGCUCAUGCCCGCCGCCUCCCCCCUCGCUCAACCCUCCCCUCUCCACGCCCCCAGCCGCCGCCGCCGCGGUGCCCAGCCCCUCACCCUCCUCUCACCCCCACCGAUGCGGCGGCAGCGUUGGCCAUUUCCUCUUCGUCCAUCCGUGUCGCCUCAACGAUGGCAGCGGCGGCGGCUGCUGCCCGUCCCUGACCUCAGUUGCCUCCGCCCCGCCAACCCGCCGCCUCCGCAUCCCCGCGCCUGCAUGCGGCGCUCCGCCGCGUCGGCUGCCCUCUCCGUCGCGGACGGCCCACGCGCGGUGCGCUCCUCGCCGCGGCAGCCGCCAUCUCCGCCAUGCGGCCGCCCUCCACUGCGAAUCCCCCCCCGCACGGUGCGCGCCCCGCCGCGCGGCCGCCCUCCCGCACGGAUCCCCCACGCGUGGUGCGUUCGGCCACCGCCCUACAAGUCGUCCUCCCCGAAGCUCUGUCGCAGCAGCCGCACUAAUCAUUGGAUAACAGGAUCGCAAGACCUACCUGCACCAAGCUACCGAGGACCACAAGUCCACAAUUCGUGAGGGAAUGAACUGAAUACAAGAAUAUGUAAGCCUCCCAAAAUCCCAUCCCAAUUCUCUGGUAUGACUGACCAAACGGUCUAUUUGUUCAAUCCUGCUUAUUUAUGAUUACAAGAAAAUGUAAGUCCAAACUUGCUGCUUUCCUUGUAAAGUGUACAUGAGGUUGAAUUGGUUGGCCUUUAUUUACUGCAGUCAUUCUCUAAGGAUAGUGUACAUGGCGUCAAGGUCUUUCAGAAGAAGAGGAUACUGUAAACCAUCAUUGUGUAUUAAGGCCCAAUAACUGCUUAUUAACACUCUUAAUUGAGAUAAAUGAAUAUCACUCUCUAAGGACUGAAUUGGAAUUGAUACAUUUGUUUCUACUAUUUAAGUAUUCUUUAGAGAUAUCUGUUGAAAUUAGUGAUGUGAAAUUGCGAAUACUGCUUUCUUAUUUUGAUAUCAUCACCCAAAAUUCUCAAGUUUGAGAAAAGGAAGUAUGCUGACAGUUAGCACGCAUCAUAUCAUACUUUGGAAACCAUUUAUUCUUAUGCAUUUUGUUAGUUCUAUUACAACUUGAAGCACUAGGCAUGAGGUUGUUACAGUUCUUGUCCUGGGAUACUCAUUCUUGUAAUUCAUGGUCCCAAAGAUUCUUAUUCAAAAUCAAUGUUCUUAAGGCGUCGCCUAGGCGACGACUAGGCGUUCAGGCGCCCUCGAGGUGGUAGGCGUCCCCGUCGCCUUGCCUGGAUGCAUAUGGCGUCCGCCUCAGGAGCAAGGCGUCCGCCUGGGCGUCCAAAGGCGUCCUCUGGGCGCCAUGGAGGAUAAGGCGGGUGCCAUCCUGGUACAAAGGGAAAUCGAGCGGGCGCGCGGCGGGAAAUCGAGCGAGCGGGCGGCGGGAAAUCGAGCGGGCGGCGUGAAAUUGAGCGGGAAACAAAGGGAGGGCGGGAAUCGGGCGCGAAAUCGAGCGGGUGCUGGCUUAAUCGACCGAGUAGAGAGGGAAACACGAAACAGAGAAGAGAGCGCGGGAGAAGAACUCACGCGGCGGGGCGGAUCUCGGAGAGGCGGCGACGGCGACCCCGCAGCCUCGCGCAUCUCCCCGUCCGCGAGGAGGAAAGCGGCCCUGCGCAUCUCCGCCGGUCUGCGAGGACCCGCAUGGCCCUGCGCAUCUCCGCCGCCCGCGCGGCCCUGCCUCUGUGCACCUCCUCUGCUGGUCCGGUUCCUCGUGCGACCCCUGCAAGACUGCAAUGGCCAGCUUGCUGCUUGGGAGAAGAGAAACGAUGGCAGGAGCAAUUGGGAAGGGAAGAAUCUAUGGUACAACAGCUCAACAAAGACAGAAGCAGAUCCAGCAAUUAUCGCCUUGCUGCUUGAAAGAAGCAAUCCGCGGAUUAGUGAAAACAUGGCGAUAGGGUUGUUACUGAUCCGCUUUGCAAGACAUUUAGCAUAGGAAACCUCAUGCCUGGUGCUUCAAGUUGUAACAGAACUAAUAAAGUGCAAUUUUUCCCAUCAGCAACCUGAUUUGCGUGUACUCAAAAAAGAAUAUGAAUGAUUGCCCUGAGCUAAUUGAGAUGAAGAGGAGAUCGAAUACUAGAAGUCUCAAGGAAAUGGUCUUAUCUUCCCUUUCAAUAACAUAGCGGUGGUUCACAGUUGUUCGAUUACACCAAGUGGUGGUAGAGACUGGCCAGAUCCUUCGACCAGAGAAUUGUACCCGGGCAGUCGCCAUUCGAUUCAUCCUCAGUGAAUAACAUGAGGAUGCUUCUGGAGCAUGCUGGUCUUCUUGGGCACAUAUAUCCAUUAUCAUUGUUGUGCUAUGAGGUUAUCACUUCAGCAGGUAAUAUUACUUAAUCAGUACGUGCUCAUCAUACUAGCUUAGAUAAUUUUUCUAUGGUACCUCUUUGAAAUUUCCUUUUCUCUUCUGAUUGAAUAGGUCGCGAAAGAGAUUGGUGAGCAAAGGGUGAUAUCCUUCCAUGGAGUAGGCUUAUCAGUAACUGGGUCAUAUGCCCAGUGACAUAUUAUUCAAUUGAUCAUCCUGGGAGAUUUCUGGCUCCUCCAUGGUCUCCCUUCCGCACCGCUGGUACCCUCUCGUCAAACGGUGCCGACAGCCGUCACAACCGCCGCAUCCCGCGCCAACCGCUCCGGUUCUGUGCAGAAAUCCAAGAGAGUUGGAGGAAAGAAACGAGGCACCAAGGCCUCAAAGCAAAAAAGAACACAAGAGAAAAAAAAAGAAUCCGGAUACUAGUAGUAGCCGCCGCAGCGAUGCCAACAAGGAAGCAUUCGCCACUGAUGCUGAUGCAGUCUUUGCUUCGUGCAUGUUGAAUGCGCCAAACCUAAGCGGCCAUAGGAAAAGAACCGAGCAGCGCUCGGGUGGCUAGCGCAGCCGGCGCGAGUUCCAUUCCCAGAAUUGCACUCGCAUCUCUCAUUGGGGUCCGGCCCCAAUAAAAUUUCAGUUGUCUCUCACAUGUGGAGCUACAAAGAGACUACGGCGCGCUCAUGGCCUACGGAGCUUUGGUGGUUCCGGUAAUCUCUCGAAAAACGCGGUCUUCGUAUUUGUUUGUAGUUGUAGGUCUGAUUGUACAGGGACUACGACACGCUCGUCGUCUACGGAGCCUUGGUGGUUCCGGUAAUCUCUCGAAGGACGCAGUCUUCAUAUCUGUUUGUAGUUGUAGGUCUGAUUGUACACGUGUGGUAUGCGUCUAAGGUGGUGCGUGCAUGCAUGUAUGAACAGAUACUAUAACUGUAACCAGAUGAGAGGCGUAAAAAAAAGCGCUGCCUUUCCUCGGAUC